AUUGGAAUGAUUGUUUGCUGGCUACUAUCCGUGAGAAGGUCCAUAUGGAGGCUGACAGGAAGGCCAUGGCUAACCAAGUAAAUGUUCCAGGAGAUCUUCCAUUUCAAUCAAAGACUACAUAUAGGAUUAGAAAUAAGGUUAUCUAUUGCUUGAUGGAGCGAGAAUUGGCAUACAGUAUGAGACAUUCUUUGCUGGUGAGCCUUGUAAAAUAUUUCAUUGUGUUUUGGAAAGCAAGUCAUUCCUGGAAAAGAUGACUCUGAUUGAGCACACCUUACCUUUCUUUCUGCCCAUACGCGAAUUGGAAAGUGAUCUCCUGUCAUCUAA